AGAGAUGGAAGUAAAUUUGUGAGCGUAAUUAAUUUGUGCCUUUAAUCAAAUUUACAUCAAAGAACCAGAAUUUAUAAAGUAACUUUCCAAGGUUUACAUAGAAGACUUACAGUCAUUGAAAGCAGAAAUAGACAAAUCUACUUGAAUCAUAAACAUCGAUUGUCAUGCCAGAGUAUCAAAUCAAACAAUAGCUUUAUAUCCGAUUAGUCAAACUGUACAAAUAUCAUUUCGUCUGAGAACAUGAUGAAAUUAUGCUUCAGAUCGUAGCAAAUUUCAUCAAAAAUAAACUAUCGACAUUGAAUUGAAAGAAAAGUAACACGGAUAAGUAACAAUUGCAAGAAGAUUUAACAUGUAAUACACAUAUAACCUAUGACAAAGUCGUGUAUGCUCUAUUUUUUCCAUGAUAUUAUGACCGAGUUCCCAUCGAAGAACGAUGUGGAGAAGAUUAAAGAGAAGGUCUCGAUCAUCAUCAUAGCUCUGAAAUGAAAUUUAAGGGAUUACAAUCAUGUAAAUAAAUAUCAAACCGCUGAUUGUUAGGGAUUACAAUCAAUCCCACUUAAUCAGGGGUUAAGAUUUUGAUAUUGUUGGUAAUUCCAAUUUGAUAUAUUUGGUAAUUCCAGAUUACAUGCAUUCUAAAAAUCAUAUUUGGUUUUUGAAUUUAAAAAUAAAAUCCCAUAAAAUUACACGUGUCAAGUUCUGUUUGCACCAACCCCAUUCAUUUACAGUUCCAUCAAAUUCUUGAAUCAUCAAGUUUUCAAUUUUUGUUUGCUCUGAAGGGUCCUGUGGUGCAUUUUGAUUUUUGACAUAGAAUCUGAUACUAAAUGAUUGUAGAGGUAAAUACAAAAUGAUGGUGAGAACAUACCUUUCCAAUUAAAGAAGGUUCGAUUAUUGAGUUGACAUUCUCCACAGCCUGACUAGUCAAUAAUGACAUGUAAAGUUUAGUUUAGUGGGGAUUAUUACUUAUUAGGGAGUAAAAUCAUAUGAAGAACACAUGCGUUUAGGAACAAGAGUUUUACCAACCUUCAAGACACCUUUCCAAGAUAGUCAGACCCUUAAUAUCUUAAUUCUAGGGCUUCAUAUAUACUUGUGAAUACAAAAUAGAAAAAGAUAAAACAGUUAUAAGCUAUAAGUCAAAACAUCCAUGAUUGUAAUAAAAGAAUUUGUAAGAAAGUAUGUUUGUAUAUUAUACAUGUUGAAGCACCGCUGGGUACUGUAGGUCUGGCCAAUGUUCCAUUAGAGAGCAUAACAUCAAUUUGAAAUUAUUAAUUUCAGUUCCCAAUCGGUUUGGUUUAACAAUACUCGGCAAUAUCAAAAUCGAACAUACAAAACAUUCGGACAGUUUCCAUAGUCCAUAACAAACAUCCAAGGAGUCGAUAUACUAUUGAAUUUUUUAAACAGAUCAUAUGAAGUAUAUGCUCUUGUUUCCAGCAAGGUUUGCAAUGUUCUGUGUGUGUGUGUUAUUUAUUAAGACCAAAAAUAAGUCAAAUAACUUGUAAAACUUCAUAUCAAAGAGACAAAGAGAUCAGCUUGAAUAACAGAGAGAAUGAAACAGAAUUAUAACUACAAAGUUACAAUUUGCAUCAAUCUUUAUGAGCAGAAACAGAAAAAUUCAUCGAGGGUGAUGAAUAACAUAAAGAAUGGAAAGGAAUCCAUCCUUAAUAUGCAUAAUCGAAAGAAGCACAUUGUGAAUUACAAAGAAAUCAAACCUCCGAAAUCUCGUGACCAACAUUCUGAACGUGAAUGACUUUAGAAGGCUCUGUCAUUUUAAAUUAUCCUGAAAAAAGAAAUUGAACUGAUUCAUGAAAAUGGUUCCACGUACAAUAUAUGAAGCAAUCAAUUCUAAGAUCCAAAAGAAAAAACGGUUGAUGAUUGCUAAUCAAGCAAAACAAAAGAUUUUGGAAGUAAAACCCUAAAUUUCCAUGGGGAAUUGUAAUAAGAUAACGUGAAAAAAUCAAACUGAAUCUUCUUGGAAGGUGAAAACCACAGAUGUAAAGGAGUGAGAACCGUAAAUCUGAAUAAAGGGGAAUCGCACCUGAAGAUGAUGAAUCUGAAAAACAAAAUGACGAUGUGUAUCUAUUCGAUGAUGACGUUUAGUUGUGUGUAGAGAAAAGUGAGGAAUGAAAUUGGGUAUGAAACGUAAGAGGUAAGUUGAGA
rnacentral:lncRNA from 1 species